rnacentral:rRNA from 1 species
CACUAUCGUUAACUGAAUACAUAGGUUAACGAGGCGAACCGGGGGAACUGAAACAUCUAAGUACCCCGAGGAAAAGAAAUCAACCGAGAUUCCCCCAGUAGCGGCGAGCGAACGGGGAGCAGCCCAGAGUCUGAAUCAGCUUGUGUGUUAGUGGAACGGUCUGGAAAGUCCGACGGUACAGGGUGAUAGUCCCGUACACCAAAAUGCACAGGUUGUGAACUCGAAGAGUAGGGCGGGACACGUGGUAUCCUGUCUGAAUAUGGGGGGACCAUCCUCCAAGGCUAAAUACUCCUGACUGACCGAUAGUGAACCAGUACCGUGAGGGAAAGGCGAAAAGAACCCCGGCGAGGGGAGUGAAAAAGAACCUGAAACCGUGUACGUACAAGCAGUGGGAGCACCUUCGGGUGUGACUGCGUACCUUUUGUAUAAUGGGUCAGCGACUUAUAUUCUGUAGCAAGGUUAACCGUAUAGGGGAGCCGCAGGGAAACCGAGUCUUAACUGGGCGUUAAGUUGCAGGGUAUAGACCCGAAACCCGGUGAUCUAGCCAUGGGCAGGUUGAAGGUUGGGUAACACUAACUGGAGGACCGAACCGACUAAUGUUGAAAAAUUAGCGGAUGACUUGUGGCUGGGGGUGAAAGGCCAAUCAAACCGGGAGAUAGCUGGUUCUCCCCGAAAGCUAUUUAGGUAGCGCCUCGUGAAUUCAUCUUCGGGGGUAGAGCACUGUUUCGGCUAGGGGGUCAUCCCGACUUACCAACCCGAUGCAAACUACGAAUACCGAAGAAUGUUAUCACGGGAGACACACGGCGGGUGCUAACGUCCGUCGUGAAGAGGGAAACAACCCAGACCGCCAGCUAAGGUCCCAAAGUCAUGGUUAAGUGGGAAACGAUGUGGGAAGGCACAGACAGCCAGGAUGUUGGCUUAGAAGCAGCCAUCAUUUAAAGAAAGCGUAAUAGCUCACUGGUCGAGUCGGCCUGCGCGGAAGAUGUAACGGGGCUAAACCAUGCACCGAAGCUGCGGCAGCGACACUAUGUGUUGUUGGGUAGGGGAGCGUUCUGUAAGCCUGCGAAGGUGUGCUGUGAGGCAUGCUGGAGGUAUCAGAAGUGCGAAUGCUGACAUAAGUAACGAUAAAGCGGGUGAAAAGCCCGCUCGCCGGAAGACCAAGGGUUCCUGUCCAACGUUAAUCGGGGCAGGGUGAGUCGACCCCUAAGGCGAGGCCGAAAGGCGUAGUCGAUGGGAAACAGGUUAAUAUUCCUGUACUUGGUGUUACUGCGAAGGGGGGACGGAGAAGGCUAUGUUAGCCGGGCGACGGUUGUCCCGGUUUAAGCAUGUAGGCUGGUUGUCCAGGCAAAUCCGGAUAAUCAAGGCUGAGGUGUGAUGACGAGGCACUACGGUGCUGAAGUAACAAAUGCCCUGCUUCCAGGAAAAGCCUCUAAGCAUCAGGUAACAUCAAAUCGUACCCCAAACCGACACAGGUGGUCAGGUAGAGAAUACCAAGGCGCUUGAGAGAACUCGGGUGAAGGAACUAGGCAAAAUGGUGCCGUAACUUCGGGAGAAGGCACGCUGGUGUGUAGGUGAAGUCCCUGCGGAUGGAGCUGAGACCAGUCGAAGAUACCAGCUGGCUGCAACUGUUUAUUAAAAACACAGCACUGUGCAAACACGAAAGUGGACGUAUACGGUGUGACGCCUGCCCGGUGCCGGAAGGUUAAUUGAUGGGGUUAUCCGUAAGGAGAAGCUCUUGAUCGAAGCCCCGGUAAACGGCGGCCGUAACUAUAACGGUCCUAAGGUAGCGAAAUUCCUUGUCGGGUAAGUUCCGACCUGCACGAAUGGCGUAAUGAUGGCCAGGCUGUCUCCACCCGAGACUCAGUGAAAUUGAACUCGCUGUGAAGAUGCAGUGUACCCGCGGCAAGACGGAAAGACCCCGUGAACCUUUACUAUAGCUUGACACUGAACAUUGAGCCUUGAUGUGUAGGAUAGGUGGGAGGCUUUGAAGCGUGGACGCCAGUCUGCGUGGAGCCAACCUUGAAAUACCACCCUUUAAUGUUUGAUGUUCUAACGUUGGCCCCUUACCGGGGUUGCGGACAGUGUCUGGUGGGUAGUUUGACUGGGGCGGUCUCCUCCCAAAGCGUAACGGAGGAGCACGAAGGUUAGCUAAUCCUGGUCGGACAUCAGGAGGUUAGUGCAAUGGCAUAAGCUAGCUUGACUGCGAGCGUGACGGCGCGAGCAGGUGCGAAAGCAGGUCAUAGUGAUCCGGUGGUUCUGAAUGGAAGGGCCAUCGCUCAACGGAUAAAAGGUACUCCGGGGAUAACAGGCUGAUACCGCCCAAGAGUUCAUAUCGACGGCGGUGUUUGGCACCUCGAUGUCGGCUCAUCACAUCCUGGGGCUGAAGUAGGUCCCAAGGGUAUGGCUGUUCGCCAUUUAAAGUGGUACGCGAGCUGGGUUUAGAACGUCGUGAGACAGUUCGGUCCCUAUCUGCCGUGGGCGCUGGAGAAUUGAGGGGGGCUGCUCCUAGUACGAGAGGACCGGAGUGGACGCAUCACUGGUGUUCGGGUUGUCAUGCCAAUGGCACUGCCCGGUAGCUAAAUGCGGAAGAGAUAAGUGCUGAAAGCAUCUAAGCACGAAACUUGCCCCGAGAUGAGUUCUCCCUGAGACUUUAAGUCUCCUGAAGGAACGUU